rnacentral:rRNA from 1 species
AACGAACGCUGGCGGCGUGCCUAACACAUGCAAGUCGAACGUGAUUGGAAGCUUGCUUCCAUGAAAGUGGCGCACGGGUGAGUAACGCGUAGAUAAUCUACCUGAUGAUUCGGGAUAACACUUCGAAAGGGGUGCUAAUACCGGAUAAGCCCACGGAGUCCUUGGACACUGCGGGAAAAGGGGGGGACCUUCGGGCCUUCCGUCAUCAGAUGAGUCUGCGUACCAUUAGCUAGUUGGUGGGGUAAAGGCCUACCAAGGCGACGAUGGUUAGCUGGUCUGAGAGGAUGAUCAGCCACACUGGAACUGAGACACGGUCCAGACUCCUACGGGAGGCAGCAGUGGGGAAUUUUGCGCAAUGGGGGAAACCCUGACGCAGCAACGCCGCGUGAGUGAUGAAGGCCCUUGGGUCGUAAAGCUCUGUCAGAGGGAAAGAAGUGUAUUGUGGCUAAUAUCCGCGAUACUUGACGGUACCCUCAAAGGAAGCACCGGCUAACUCCGUGCCAGCAGCCGCAGUAACAC